rnacentral:rRNA from 1 species
AACGUACGCUGGCGGCACGCCUAACACAUGCAAGUCGAACGCAGUAGCAAUACUGAGUGGCAAACGGGUGAGUAUAAUGUGGGAAUCUGCCUUUUGGUUUGGAAUAACACGGGGAAACUUGUGCUAAUACCGAAUAAGCCCUUACGGGGAGAGUUUUAAUGCCAAAAGAUGAGCCCGCACUUGAUUAGCUAGUUGGUAAGGUAAAAGCUUACCAAGGCAACGAUCAAUAGCUGUUCUUAGAGGAAGACCAGCCACAUUGGGACUGAGACACGGCCCAGACUCCUACGGGAGGCAGCAGUGGGGAAUCUUGCACAAUGGGGGAAACCCUGAUGCAGCGAUGCCGCGUGAGUGAAGAAGGCCCUUGGGUUGUAAAAACUCUUUCGUCGGGGAAGAAAAUGACUGUACCCGAAUAAGAGUCCGGCUAACUUCGUGCCAGCCGCCGCCGUAAU